rnacentral:tRNA from 1 species
GUAAAAUCAGCUAAAUAAAGCUAUUGGGUUCAUGCCCCGACAAUGAGAUUAUCUCUUUUACU